GCCUAAUUCAUUUGAAAAGGUCUUCCCGAAUCGACUUGACGUACACAGAAAUAUUCGCCACUGGUCUUUACUCAAAAAACGAUUCACGCAUAAAUGCAUGACUAAAAAAAAUGUGAGGUAAAUGAUCUGUUUGUCUAGUAUCUCAGUUCCCUUCAAUAACACGUAAAAUAAAUAAAAAAAAACGUUACCCUAUUCCUUUACCAAAUAUUCCUUGGAGAAGAAAACCCAUUUGAAACUAACAGAAAAGAUAAAAAUGUAGUGAUCCAUAAUAUCUCAAUCCUUUUUUUUCCGGCUGUAAGCACGCUGUUGCAGCUAACGUUUUCUAAUGCGUUAUCGAGACAUCUCUAGUGAUAUUCAAACUACUGCAAAUUAUAAAAAUGGCUUUCAUAAAGUAGCAACCACUUAACUUACGUACGUUUUUAUUCCUUUUUUUUCGAUGCUGGUGAUCAAACACUUUUUUUUUCAAUAUUUAACACUAUAAUGUAUGGGGAAACUCUUGAUUCAGAAUAUUUUUUUUUAUUAUCUGUAUGACCUUUUUUUUUCUUCUAUCAAAUUGGGGAUCGGAAUAUUUCCAUUCCCAUCCCCCACCCCUCUUUUGAAGUCAAAUAGUUGUUCUCUUACCGCUAGAAAAAAUUUUCAAAAAUUUUGAAUUCAGUUCUACGUAAUGAACAUUUAAAUGACAUGUAGUUUACAAGUGGGAACAAAUCUUAUGUACAGGUAGCUAAACAAGGUGUAUAGAUGUGAACAAAUGUAAUGUGAAACCAGUGUACACUACACUAAACUAAUUGUAAACAUGUUUACUCUACACG
rnacentral:lncRNA from 1 species